UAUCUCUUAUCUAUGGGUAUGAUAGUAUGGCAGCAGUGCCAGUUAGACAAAUGGAGUUUGUGAAAGUUUUUGGCUAUGUGAACUGUAGCCUUUAGGUGUGGUGAAUUUUGUAAGUAAUAUGAAAUUAAAACUAUUGUGCAAAAAUUUCUGCUCGAACUUUGGACAUCAUGUGUAGUUGGACUGUGAUAGUAGCAAUCCCUAUUUCAUCCCAGUAUGGAGCAGUAUCCCUUUUAUUUAUUGGAAGCAAAACAAUGAGGAUAAGCAACAAUCUAUUAAUUUAUAAGGUAGAUAGUUGGAUGAUAAGUGUUCAUAGUAAAGUUCGAUCCUACGGUAACAAAUAAUCUAAAAUGGUAUUGCGACUGUAGAUUCCUUUGCCUUGGAACAUUAUGCCGUUUAUUUUUUGAUGGGAGCAUAUGGAAGUUUAUUUGGCCCUGUUGCACAUUGGUUGUAAUGGUCUUCUUUCACCCCAAGACGUAAGAAGGAAACAUUUCUUUUCCUAUUGGAAGUACUUGCAGUUUGCUGAUGUUGCUAAAAGAGGAAGUUACCGUAAUAAAAUGCUUCGAAGAAGAGUAAUAAAGGUGACUUCUUCCCUGAAAAUAAGCGUAACGAUCAGAUCGUGAAAUGGAUUACUGAUCAAUGAGUUGAUGGCAUGUAAUUGGUUACUUUUGAAUACAUUAGUAGAAGUUGUAGGACUAGAAGGUAAGCAAAAAUCCUUUAAAAAUACUUUU